GGCAACGUGGCCGAGCGGUCUAAGGCGCUGGAAUUAGGAGGUUUCCCCAAAAGGGAACUUACGGAACAAUCCAGUCCUCCGGGGCGUGAGUUCGAACCUCACCGUUGUCA